rnacentral:rRNA from 1 species
UACAGAGGGGGCAAGCGUUGUUCGGAAUUACUGGGCGUAAAGGGCGCGUAGGCGGCCUUCUAAGUCGAACGUGAAAUCCCCGGGCUCAACCCGGGAACUGCGUCCGAUACUGGAAGGCUUGAAUCCGGGAGAGGGAUGCGGAAUUCAAGGUGUAGCGGUGAAAUGCGUAGAUAUCUGGAGGAACACCGGUGGCGAAGGCGGCAUCCUGGGUCGAUACUGACGCUGAGGUGCGAAAGCGUGGGGAGCAAACAGG